CAGCCACAUUGAAACAUUGGUUCCCAUAUGAUCCCCAAAAUUAAGCAGUGUUGUGCCUGGUCAGUACCUAGAUGGGUGACUGCUUGGGUAUACCAGGUACUGUA